CCCGAAAGAUCGAAUGAGGAGAUUCAUCGUCAGCGUGGUCAGUUUCCAUGUGUUUAGCGAUGACACGCAUUCGCUUGGUAUAUCUGAUUACGUCGGCGUGCACUUCUCCUCUAGUAGAACGUUGCGACCCGCUGGGUGUUGGCUUAAGGACCGAGAUGUAGACUGUUUUCGUUCGUUCACGCGUUCUGUUGACAGGCACUUGGAUUUCUGGCUGACUGCUCGGCGGUAUACAUAAGGUAUUGAGCCGCAUAUUUUGAAUGCGUUCAGACUCAUUUACAAGCUAAUCAUUGAAUAACUUGAGGGUGCGGACCUAGUGCCGUCCUUGAGGGUGGUUGGCUGUUGGUUAAUGUGUUCUCGAACUGGCUUAGUACCGGUCAGCAACGCUAUUGCUUUGGGUACUUUCAGGACCCGUCUUGAAACACGGACCAAGGAGUCUAACCUGUGCGCAAGUCAUUGGGAUAUUAAACCUAAAGGCGCAUUGAAAGAAAAGAUCGGCCUUGUGUCGAUUGAGGGAGGAUAGGUAAUAUUAUAUAUUGCUUCGCACUCCCGGGGUGUCUCUUAAAGUCAUUACGACUUGAGGCGCACCUAGAGCGUACACGUUGGGACCCGAAAGAUGGUGAACUAUGCCUGGUCAGGAUG
rnacentral:rRNA from 2 species